UACGGAGGGGGCGAGCGUUAUUCGGAAUUAUUGGGCGUAAAGGGCGCGUAGGCGGCUUCAUAAGUCAAAGGUGAAAUCCCUCGGCUCAACUGAGGAACUGCCUUUGAAACUGUGGAGCUUGAGGCCGGGAGGGGGUAGCGGAAUUCCCAGUGUAGCGGUGAGAUGCGUAGAUAUUGGGAGGAACACCAGUGGCGAAGGCGGCUACCUGGACCGGUACUGACGCUGAUGCGCGAAAGCGUGGGUAGCAAACAGG
rnacentral:rRNA from 1 species